CACGUAGGGCGCAAGCGUUGUCCGGAAUUAUUGGGCGUAAAGAGCUCGUAGGCGGUCUGUUGCGUCCGCUGUGAAAACUCGGGGCUUAACCCCGAGCCUGCAGUGGAUACGGGCAGACUAGAGGUAGGUAGGGGAGAAUGGAAUUCCCGGUGUAGCGGUGAAAUGCGCAGAUAUCGGGAGGAACACCGGUGGCGAAGGCGGAUCUCUGGGCCAUUACUGACGCUGAGGAGCGAAAAGCGUGGGGAGCGAACAGG
rnacentral:rRNA from 1 species